UGCCAGCCGCCGCGGUAAUACGUAGGUCGCAAGCGUUGUCCGGAAUUACUGGGUGUAAAGGGAGCGUAGGCGGGAAUGUAAGUUGAAUGUUUAAACUAUGGGCUCAACCCAUAAUCGCGUUCAAAACUGCAUUUCUUGAGUGGAGUAGAGGCAGGCGGAAUUCCUAGUGUAGCGGUGAAAUGCGUAGAUAUUAGGAGGAACACCAGUGGCGAAGGCGGCCUGCUGGACCGUGAUCGACGCUGAGGAGCGAAAGCUAGGGGAGCAAACAGGAUUAGAUA
rnacentral:rRNA from 1 species